rnacentral:rRNA from 1 species
GACGAACGCUGGCGGCGUGCCUAAUACAUGCAAGUCGAGCGAAUCAGAUGGGAGCUUGCUCCCGGAUGAUUAGCGGCGGACGGGUGAGUAACACGUGGGCAACCUGCCCGUAAGAUUGGGAUAACUCCGGGAAACCGGUGCUAAUACCGAAUAGGUUCUGACACCUCAUGGUGUCAGAGGGAAAGUUGGCUUUUAGCUAACACUUACGGAUGGGCCCGCGGCGCAUUAGCUAGUUGGUGAGGUAACGGCUCACCAAGGCGACGAUGCGUAGCCGACCUGAGAGGGUGAACGGCCACACUGGGACUGAGACACGGCCCAGACUCCUACGGGAGGCAGCAGUAGGGAAUCUUCGGCAAUGGGCGAAAGCCUGACCGAGCAACGCCGCGUGAAUGAUGAAGGCCUUCGGGUUGUAAAAUUCUGUUAUAAGGGAAGAACGACUUUAGUAGGAAAUGGCUAGAGUGUGACGGUACCUUAUGAGAAAGCCACGGCUAACUACGUGCCAGCAGCCGCGGUAAUACGUAGGUGGCGAGCGUUAUCCGGAAUUAUUGGGCGUAAAGAGCGCGCAGGUGGUUGAUUAAGUCUGAUGUGAAAGCCCACGGCUUAACCGUGGAGGGUCAUUGGAAACUGGUCAACUUGAGUGCAGAAGAGGGAAGUGGAAUUCCAUGUGUAGCGGUGAAAUGCGUAGAGAUAUGGAGGAACACCAGUGGCGAAGGCGGCUUCCUGGUCUGUAACUGACACUGAGGCGCGAAAGCGUGGGGAGCAAACAGGAUUAGAUACCCUGGUAGUCC